rnacentral:rRNA from 1 species
AAGUCUUGAGUGAAGUAGAGGCAGGCGGAAUUCCGGGUGUAGCGGUGGAAUGCGUAGAUAUCGGGAGGAACACCAGUGGCGAAGGCGGCCUGUUGGGCUUUAACUGACACUGAGGCUCGAAAGCGUGGGUAGCAAACAGGAUUAGAUACCCUGGUAGUCCACGCCGUAAACGAUGAUUACUAGGUGUGGGGGGAUUGACCCCUUCCGUGCCGCAGUUAACACAAUAAGUAAUCCACCUGGGGAGUACGACCGCAAGGUUGAAACUCAAAGGAAUUGACGGGGGCCCGCACAAGCAGUGGAGUAUGUGGUUUAAUUCGAAGCAACGCGAAGAACCUUACCAGGUCUUGACAUCCCGUGCAUAGCCUAGAGAUAGGUGAAGCCCUUCGGGGCACGGUGACAGGUGGUGCAUGGUUGUCGUCAGCUCGUGUCGUGAGAUGUUGGGUUAAGUCCCGCAACGAGCGCAACCCUUGCCGAUAGUUACUACGAAAGAGGACUCUAUCGGGACUGCCGUUGACAAAACGGAGGAAGGUGGGGAUGACGUCAAAUCAUCAUGCCCUUUAUGACCUGGGCUACACACGUACUACAAUGGCCGUUAACAACGGGGACCAAUGGGGCGACCCGGAGGAAAUCCACAAAAACGGUCUCAGUUCGGAUUGCAGGCUGCAACCCGCCUGCAUGAAGUCGGAAUUGCUAGUAAUCGCGGAUCAGCAUGCCGCGGUGAAUACGUUCCCGGGCCUUGUACACACCGCCCGUCACACCAUGAGAGCCGGGGGUACCCGAAGUCGGUAGUCUAACCCUAGUGGAAGACGCCGCCGAAGGUAAAACGGUUACAUAGGUACA